AUGAUCAUAAAUAAUGUACGAAUGUUCUUCACAUUCAAAGGACAUCCGCAUCUGUUGGAAGACUUAAAACAUCAGCCACACCUUAGACUCCAUGACCACGACGUGUGUGUACAAUGGUUGCAACGGAUCCCUCCAGAAGGCUCCAUCCCCCAUCACUACUGGUUGAAGGCGUCUUCACAUCUUGACACACUAUUGCAACACCACAUUUCUCGUUAUCAUCUGCUUACUGAAAUGACAGGCGUCCACGCUGUGGUGAGGAACACUGACUCUGAAGGCAGAUGGACAGGGCUUGGAUCCAAGCUCAGCUCCUCACCAGAAGGGGACCUUUAG
rnacentral:lncRNA from 1 species